ensembl:lncRNA
CCCAGUCAAAGUUUUAUGUGCCGUACUGAUAAUUGGAAUGCAGGGAUGCUUGGGUGUGCGCUCACUGAAAUUCUUCAGCUAUUUAUAGGAAUAUGGUGAUGAGACCUAGAGUGGACAAGACCAAAGGAUAUCACAUUCCCUCUGGGGUCUGGUCAGCACCAAGAAGUUUGCAACAACCAGCCACAUCCCCUACCCUUUCAGUAUAAAAGAAGCCUGAAUUCUAACUCGGCAUGCAGGAUUUUCAUUCCCCAGUCAGGGGUUGAACCCGAAGCCCCCUGCAUUGGGAAUGCAGAGUCUUAACCACUGGACUGCCAGGGAAGUCCCAAAACCAUACAUCUUAAAGUCAAGGAUGAGGAAAAGCCAGGAUAACCUUACAUUGUUGGUGCAUCUCAAAUCUGUCAGAAUGUCUAUCAUCAAAAAAGAACAUAAAUAAAAAAUGUUGGCGAAGAUAUGGAGAAGAGAGAA